UCCCUGCAGAACUAGUGGUUAGGCCACUGCAUUCUCAUCACUGAGGCCCGGGUUCGAUUCCCGGCCAGGGGA